rnacentral:rRNA from 1 species
UACGAACCGUGCGAACGUUAUUCGGAAUCACUGGGCUUAAAGCGCGUGUAGGCGGGCCGGCACGUCGGACGUUGAAAUCCCCCGGCUCAACCGGGGAAGGGGCGCCGAUACGACCGGCCUGGAGGAACGUAGGGGGAGCUGGAACUUCCGGUGGAGCGGUGAAAUGCGUUGAGAUCGGAAGGAACGCCCGUGGCGAAAGCGAGCUCCUGGACGUUUUCUGACGCUGAGACGCGAAAGCCAGGGGAGCGAACGGG